GCCAGCAUGGUGUAGUGGUUUGCGCCUUGAACUAUGACUCUAGAGAGCAGGGUUCGAAUCCCAGCUCGGCCA